rnacentral:rRNA from 1 species
AUUGAACGCUGGCGGCAUGCCUUACACAUGCAAGUCGAACGGCAGCAUGGAAGAGCUUGCUCUUCUGAUGGCGAGUGGCGAACGGGUGAGUAAAGCAUCGGAACGUACCGUGUAGUGGGGGAUAACGUAGCGAAAGUUACGCUAAUACCGCAUACGCACUGAGGUGGAAAGCGGGGGAUCGCAAGACCUUGCGCUAUACGAGCGGCCGAUGUCAGAUUAGCUAGUUGGUAGGGUAAAGGCCUACCAAGGCGACGAUCUGUAGCGGGUCUGAGAGGAUGAUCCGCCACACUGGGACUGAGACACGGCCCAGACUCCUACGGGAGGCAGCAGUGGGGGAUUUUGGACAAUGGGCGAAAGCCUGAUUCAGCCAUGCCGCGUGAGUGAAGAAGGCCUUCGGGUUGUAAAGCUCUUUCGGCUGGGAAGAAAUCGCACAGGCUAAUACUCUGUGUGGAUGACGGUACCAGCACAAGAAGCACCGGCUAACUACGUGCCAGCCGCCGCAGUAA